rnacentral:rRNA from 1 species
UUUUUGAAAAUAAUUUAAAGUCUUAUCUGCCCACUGAUAAAUAUAUUAAAGGGCUGCAGUAUUUUGACUGUACAAAGGUAGCAUAAUCAUUAGUCUCUUAAUUGGUGACUUGUAUGAAAGAUUGGAUGAAAUAUAAACUGUCUCUAAUUAAUUUAUAAAAUUUAAUUUUUUAGUAAAAAAGCUAAAAUAAUUUUAAAAGACGAGAAGACCCUAUAGAGUUUUAUAAUUUGUUUAAUUAUUAUUAAUAUGUAAAUUUUAAAAUUAAAAUUAAAUAAAUUAUUUUGUUGGGGUGACAGAAAAAUUAAAUUAACUUUUUUAGAUAAUUAACAUUAAUUUAUGAAUAAAUGAUCCAUUAAUAUUGAUUAAAAGAAAAAAUUACCUUAGGGAUAACAGCGUAAUUUUUUUUUUUAGUUCAAAUAGGAAAAAAAGUUUGCGACCUCGAUGUUGGAUUAAGAUAAAAUUUAAAUG